CCCCAAAUCAGGAACUCUCCUUUUCUAAUUCUCCCUUACAGAUGUUUUUUCCUUUGGGGACAGCGUGAAAAUACUGCCAUCAAUGAUUACCUUUCUAGGAUUGCUAAUAUUAAGAUAUUUCAAAUAACCUUUCAGAUAACCACUGAAAACUUCAUUCCUUGUUCCCAUCAUAGCUCCAGUAUCUAGAAUGGCUCCUGGCACUACCAGGGCCUGAAUAAAUAUGUGCUGAAUGGGAUCAUGAAUGGGUGAAUAUAUAACAUUCAGACUUUGGGAUAUUAUGAAUACUAUUCAUGUUUGGUUUUCAUUGUUAAAUUUUUGAUAGUAGCCCCUAGAAACACAUCAAGAAACUGUAUAAUUCUCUGUGUAUAGGUGUAGAGUGUUAAUAACAUGUCAACCCCACUGCCCGCCAUCGUGCCCGCCACCCUGAAGGCCACUGCUGUGGUGAUUUUCCUGCAUGGAUUGGGAGAUACUGGGCAUGGAUGGGCAGAAGCCUUUGCAGGUAUCAGAAGUUCACAUAUCAAAUAUAUCUGCCCGCAUGCGCCUGUUAGGCCUGUUACAUUAAAUAUGAACAUGGCUAUGCCUUCAUGGUUUGAUAUUAUUGGACUUUCACCAGAUUCACAGGAGGAUGAAUCUGGGAUUAAACAGGCAGCAGAAAAUAUAAAAGCUUUGAUUGAUCAAGAAGUGAAGAAUGGCAUUCCUUCUAACAGAACUAUUUUGGGAGGGUUUUCUCAGGGAGGAGCUUUAUCUUUAUAUACUGCCCUUACCACGCAGCAGAAACUGGCAGGUGUCACUGCACUCAGUUGCUGGCUUCCACUUCGGGCUUCCUUUCCACAGGGUCCUAUCAGUGGUGCUAAUAGAGAUAUUUCUAUUCUCCAGUGCCAUGGGGAUUAUGACCCUUUAGUUCCCCUGAUGUUUGGUUCUCUUACGGUUGAAAAACUAAAAACAUUGGUGAAUCCAGCCAAUGUGACCUUUAAAACCUAUGAAGGUAUGAUGCACAGUUCGUGUCAACAGGAAAUGAUGGAUGUCAAGCAAUUCAUUGAUAAACUCCUACCUCCAAUUGAUUGACGUCACUAAGAGGCCUUGUGUAGAAGUACACCAGCAUCAUUGUAGUAGAGUAUAAACCUUUUCCCACGCCCAGUCUUCAAAUUUCGAAUGUUUUGCAGUGUUAAAAUGUUUUGCAAAUACAUGCCAGUGACACAGAUCAAAUAAUGUCUCCUCAUGAGAAAUUUAUGAUCUUUUAAGUUUCUAUACAUGUAUUCUUAUAAGAAGACCCAGGAUCUACUAUAUUAGAAUAGAUGAAGCAGGUAGCUUCUUUUUUCUCAAAUGUAAUUCAGCAAAAUAAUACAGUACUGCCACCAGAUUUUUUAUUACAUCAUUUGAAAAUUAGCAGUAUGCUUAAUGAAAAUUUGUUCAGGUAUAAAUGAGCAGUUAAGGUAUAAACAAUUUAUGCAUGCUGUGACUUAGUCUAUGGAUUUAUUCCAAAAUUGCUUAGUCACCAUGCAGUAUCUGUAUUUUUAUAUAUGUGUUCAUAUAUACAUAAUGAUUGUAAUACAUAAUAAGAAUGAGGUGAUAUUACAUUGUUCCUAAUAAUAGGGAUAAUGCUGUUUAUUGUCAAGAAAAAGUAAAAUUGUUCUCAUCAAUUAAUGGCCCUUUUAU